rnacentral:rRNA from 1 species
UACAGAGACUGCGAGCGUUUAUUCGGAUUCACUGGGCGUAAAGGGUGCGUAGGCGGCGCGGUAAGUCGGGUGUGAAAUCUCGGAGCUUAACUCCGAAACUGCAUUCGAUACUGCCGUGCUUGAGGACUGGAGAGGAGACUGGAAUUUACGGUGUAGCGGUGAAAUGCGUAGAUAUCGUAAGGAAGACCAGUGGCGAAGGCGGGUCUCUGGACAGUUCCUGACGCUGAGGCACGAAGGUCAGGGGAGCAAACGGG